rnacentral:rRNA from 1 species
AAUCCAUAGGUUAAUGAGGCGAACCGGGGGAACUGAAACAUCUAAGUACCCCGAGGAAAAGAAAUCAACCGAGAUUCCCCCAGUAGCGGCGAGCGAACGGGGAGGAGCCCAGAGCCUGAAUCAGCAUGUGUGUUAGUGGAAGCGUCUGGAAAGGCGCGCGAUACAGGGUGACAGCCCCGUACACAAAAGCGCAUGUGCUGUGAGCUCGAUGAGUAGGGCGGGACACGUGGUAUCCUGUCUGAAUAUGGGGGGACCAUCCUCCAAGGCUAAAUACUCCUGACUGACCGAUAGUGAACCAGUACCGUGAGGGAAAGGCGAAAAGAACCCCGGCGAGGGGAGUGAAAAAGAACCUGAAACCGUGUACGUACAAGCAGUGGGAGCCCCACCACUAAGCCAGUGGUGAACUCCACAUACGCAUCCUUUGCUGAGGAUACGGUUAACGGAGCGAAAGCGACGU